CCUACGGGGUGCUGCAGUGGGGAAUAUUGCACAAUGGGGGAAACCCUGAUGCAGCGACGCCGCGUGAGUGAAGAAGUAAUUCGUUAUGUAAAGCUCUAUCAGCAGGGAAGAAAAUGACGGUACCUGAGUAAGAAGCCCCGGCUAACUACGUGCCAGCAGCCGCGGUAAUACGUAGGGGGGAAGCGUUAUCCGGAUUUACUGGGUGGAAAGGGAGCGUAGACGGAAGUGCAAGUCUGGAGUGAAAGGCGGGGGCUCAACCCCCGGACUGCUCUGGAAACUGUACGGCUGGAGUGCAGGAGAGGUAAGUGGAAUUCCUAGGGUAGCGGUGAAAUGCGUAGAUAUUAGGAGGAACACCAGUGGCGAAGGCGGCUUACUGGACUGUAACUGACGUUGAGGCUCGAAAGCGUGGGGAGCAAACAGGAUUAGAUACCCUUGUAGUC
rnacentral:rRNA from 1 species